UACGAGGGGGGCGAGCGUUGUUCGGAAUUAUUGGGCGUAAAGGGCGCGUAGGCGGUGCGGUAAGUCACCUGUGAAACCUCUGGGCUCAACUCAGAGCCUGCAGGCGAAACUGCCGUGCUGGAGUGUGGGAGAGGUGCGUGGAAUUCCCGGUAUAGCGGUGAAAUGCGUAGAUAUCGGGAGGAACACCUGUGGCGAAAGCGGCGCACUGGACCACAACUGACGCUGAGGCGCGAAAGCUAGGGGAGCAAACAGG
rnacentral:rRNA from 1 species